GUUUCAAUUCCUCAUAGGCAGGCUAUCGGCAGGGGCGCUACGAGAAAAAGAAAGAGCAGCUAUUCGAG
rnacentral:sRNA from 1 species